AUUGAACGCUGGCGGCAGGCCUAACACAUGCAAGUCGAACGAUUGGCGGACGGGUGAGUAAUGUCUGUGAAACUGCCUGAUGUAGGGGGAUAACUACUGGAAACGGUAGCUAAUACCGCAUACCAUCAGAUGUGCCCAGAUGGGGUUAGCUUGUUGGUGUUGUAACGGCUCACCAAGGCGACGACCCCUAUCUGGUCUGAGAGGAUGACCGGCCCCCCUGGAACUGAGACACGGUCCAGACUCCUACGGGAGGCAGCAGUGGGGAAUAUUGCACAAUGGUCGCAAGCCUGAUGCAGCCAUGCCGCGGGUAUGAAGAAGGCCUUCGGGUUGUAAAGUACUUUCAGCGAGGAGGCGUUACCCGCAGAAGAAGCACCGGCUAACUCCGUGCCAGCAGCCGCGGUAAUAC
rnacentral:rRNA from 1 species